UACAGAGGUCUCAAGCGUUGUUCGGAUUCAUUGGGCGUAAAGGGGUGCGUAGGCGGCGCGGUAAGUCGGGUGUGAAAUCUCGGAGCUUAACUCCGAAACUGCAUUCGAUACUGCCGUGCUUGAGGACUGGAGAGGAGACUGGAAUUUACGGUGUAGCGGUGAAAUGCGUAGAUAUCGUAAGGAAGACCAGUGGCGAAGGCGGGUCUCUGGACAGUUCCUGACGCUGAGGCACGAAGGUCAGGGGGAGCAAAACGGGG
rnacentral:rRNA from 1 species